AUGUUGACCCUGCUUGCCCUCGCCUCCUCAGUUCCUCUAAAGAUGCACCUGGGUUCAGACAGAGUUCCUAUCUGACUUCACUCCUGACCACAGAGAAGAAAAUGGGCAAAGAAAGUAGUGCAGUCAGAAAGCUUUUAUAUGUAACUAUGUUGCCCUCUUCCAAAUGACCCUCACUGUUGUUCUUUGUCUAAGUGAGAACCCAAGAACCCUCCAGGGCUCAUUCAAAGCUUAUCCACUAGCUCAGCUGUAAAAUCUGCCCUUCACUGUCUGAAUUCCAAAGUCACAGAGUUGAUCUAAUUUUUCUGGCCAACGCUGCCAUAGUUCCUUAUCCUUGUGAAUUUGUUUCUACCAGGUCUAUGACCAGCCUGGAGCAGAGAAAAGGUUGAAAGAGGAGCCACCCAUUCCUCCCAUGCCACUACAAUCCCAACCUCAGAGAGGAGCCAUGAACUAAGAAAAAAAGGGUUUGCUAAAUCAAUCAAUCCCAUAUGCAAGACUGAGGAAGGAGGGAACUCAAGCUGCUUGACAAGCUUUAUGUUCCCAAUGCUUGGUAUUACUCUUUCAUUUGCCAUUGUUCAUCUUGGACAGAAGAUAUAUGAAAAGACCUAGCACAAAGAUUUAAGUAAUCACACAAAGAUUUAAGUAAUCAAGAAGGCAACAGGAGGACAAUGGAAGCAGACAGAAACAUGGUAAAGAAA